rnacentral:misc_RNA from 1 species
AAGUCGUAACAAGGUUUCCGUAGGUGAACCUGCGGAAGGAUCAUUAACACGUAUCCAACGUUAAACCCCCCUGUGAACCUUCAGAGAGCUCUUGCAUACCGUACGGAACAGCAAUCCUGGUAAAUCAGUGGCGAAAGUACAGCGACACUUUAAUCCGCCCGGCCAGGUCUCCAGACCCACUGCGUAUGCGCUCAAUUGAAGUCCUGGACAGAUACGGUUUCGAGGUUAACAUUACGAUCGCUAGAGGCUCACCACGGGCCGGCGGACAGACCUGCAGGGCCUCGAGCCCCCCUACCUGACGACCAAGUUAAACCGGGCCUCGUCACAUAGCAAGUGCGCCGUGAUGGAGGAAAACGUACAACUGUUAACAAUGGAUAUCUUGGUUCUC